GGCACUGUGGCUUAGAUGGUUAAAGCGCCUGUCUAGUAAACAGGAGAUCCUGGGUUUCGAAUCCCAGCAGAGCCU